rnacentral:rRNA from 1 species
GAUGAACGCGGGCGGCGUGCCUAAUACAGGCAAGUCGAGCGAACAGACGAGGAGCUUGCUCCUCUGACGUUAGCGGCGGACGGGUGAGUAACACGUGGAUAACCUACCUAUAAGACUGGGAUAACUUCGGGAAACCGGAGCUAAUACCGGAUAAUAUAUUGAACCGCAUGGUUCAAUAGUGAAAGACGGUUUUGCUGUCACUUAUAGAUGGAUCCGCGCCGCAUUAGCUAGUUGGUAAGGUAACGGCUUACCAAGGCAACGAUGCGUAGCCGACCUGAGAGGGUGAUCGGCCACACUGGAACUGAGACACGGUCCAGACUCCUACGGGAGGCAGCAGUAGGGAAUCUUCCGCAAUGGGCGAAAGCUUGACGGAGCAACGCCGCGUGAGUGAUGAAGGUCUUCGGAUCGUAAAACUCUGUUAUUAGGGAAGAACAAAUGUGUAAGUAACUAUGCACGUCUUGACGGUACCUAAUCAGAAAGCCACGGCUAACUACGUG